AAUCAACGCUGGCGGCGUGCCUAACACAUGCAAGUCGAACGCGAAAGCCCCUUCGGGGGCAAGUAGAGUGGCGUCCGGGUGAGUAACACGUGGGUAAUCUACCUCCGGGUGGGGAAUAACUCGCCGAAAGGCGGGCUAAUACCGCAUAAUGCAGCGGCACCGAAUGGUGAUUAGUUGUUAAAGCGGGGGACCUUAGGGCCUCGCGUCUGGAGAGGAGCCUGCGGCAGAUUAGCUUGUUGGUAGGGAAUGGCCUACCAAGGCUGCGAUCUGUAGCUGGUCUGAGAGGACGGCCAGCCACACUGGCACUGACACACGGGCCAGACUCCUACGGGAGGCAGCAGUGGGGAAUUUUGGGCAAUGGGCGAAAGCCUGACCCAGCAACGCCGCGUGAAGGAGGAAAUCCUUCGGGAUGUAAACUUCACAAGCAAGGGAAGAGCGCGCAGGGUCGAAUAAACUCUGCGUCCGGCGGUACCUGCGUAAGCCACGGCUAACUACGUGCCAGCAGCCGC
rnacentral:rRNA from 1 species